AUCUAUAUAAUUUAUAUAAAGAAUAUUACAUUGAAGCUGUAAAAGAGAUAAAUUUAUCUGUAGAUA
rnacentral:tRNA from 1 species